rnacentral:rRNA from 1 species
GAAUGGAUAUACAAAAAAAUUCUUUUUUAANNUCAAAAAUUUAAAUUAUUUUUGUUUGUGAAGAAACAACAAUAACAAUUAAGGACAAGAAGACCCUAAGAAUUUUUAAUUAAUGAUUACUAACUUAAAUAAAUAAUUNUUAAUUUUAAUUGGGGUGAUUAAUAAAAAUUAAAAACUUUAUUAUAAAAUAAUAUGAACCAUUAAUAAUGGUUUUUUGAAAAAAAUACUCUAGGGAUAANAGCGUAAUAAUUUUUAAUAGU